ACUCAAAUGAAUUGACGGGGGCCCGCACAAGCGGUGGAGCAUGUGGUUUAAUUCGACGCAACGCGAAGAACCUUACCUGGGCUUGAACUGUAGUGGACCGGUGCAGAGAUGUGCCUUUCCGCAAGGACUGCUACAGAGGCGCUGCAUGGCUGUCGUCAGCUCGUGUCGUGAGAUGUUGGGUUAAGUCCCGCAACGAGCGCAACCCUUACCUCUAGUUGCCAGCGAGUCAUGUCGGGAACUCUAGAGGGACUGCCCGGGUUAACCGGGAGGAAGGUGGGGAUGAUGUCAAGUCCUCAUGGCCCUUAUGUCCAGGGCUACACACGUGCUACAAUGGGCGAUACAAACCGUUGCGAUACCGCGAGGUGGAGCUAAUCGGAAAAAGUCGUCCUCAGUUCGGAUUGUAGUCUGCAACUCGACUACAUGAAGGUGGAAUCGCUAGUAAUCGUGUAUCAGAACGAUACGGUGAAUACGUUCCCGGGCCUUGUACACACCGCCCGU
rnacentral:rRNA from 1 species